GAAGGAGGGAGGGAAGCGCGGCCCGCUCCGCCCCCUCGGCGCCGCCAUCUUGGCUCCCCUCGCAGAGGGAAGAAGACGGCAGAGAGCGGCGUCUCCCUCGACGGGCCUGUUUUAGUCUGGGAAAGGCAUUUCUUACUUCAGGGAACCAGGCUGCCUAUAAAUUAUAAAAGAGGAAACGGAAUAUCAUGCAUGGCAGUGAUACGGAGUGCAAAUCUCCAGAAGGCACUCACUAAGGAGCUCAAACUGCAAUGAAGCAAAAGGAAAGGAACAAAUAAGACCAGGGGAGAGGUUUCAGAGACAGUAAUACACUAAUCAGGAGGAGGUGCAGGAGCUUUGAAAAGGAAACCUUUGGCCGCAUACAAAAUGAAUAUACACAUCUGAUAAUGAAAGCGGUCAGAAAGCAACCAAGAUCUCAGAAGCAGCAGGAGCAAGGAUUGCUGGGGAUUACCUGCCUUCAAUUGUUCCAGAUAAAGAGAAAUGGUUUUACCACUACAACCCAAACUCAACCAGGACACCCUAUUGAAAUGUGGCAUUUGCAAUAAAACAUCUGGUACUCAUCUUCUGCCAAUUGUGCUGAACCUAUUUUGGUGCUAGACUUCUGAAAACCAGGUAUAACUCUGCUAAAGUUCAUGUGGUCGAACCCGAGCGACCAUUUGCAUUCAGCUUAAUCUGACCUGCAGCAGGGAGUUCCGCCGAUCUGAAGGAGCCAUGUUGGAAUCAAUCUGACCAUGCUUGCGUGCCCCAGCAGCAACUUAAGAUGUAUUUUUUGCUCUUUCUCUGUGCCUUCCAAACUUUUAACUAUGUAACAAACUUCUAAUAAAAGAAUCUUCUUACUCUAA